CUUAAUUGGGCGUUAAGUUGCAGGGUAUAGACCCGAAACCCGGUGAUCUAGCCAUGGGCAGGUUGAAGGUUGGGUAACACUAACUGGAGGACCGAACCGACUAAUGUUGAAAAAUUAGCGGAUGACCUGUGGCUGGGGGUGAAAGGCCAAUCAAACCGGGAGAUAGCUGGUUCUCCCCGAAAGCUAUUUAGGUAGCGCCUCGUGAAUUCAUCUCCGGGGGUAGAGCACUGUUUCGGCUAGGGGGCCAUCCCGGCUUACCAACCCGAUGCAAACUGCGAAUACCGGAGAAUGUUAUCACGGGAGACACACGGCGGGUGCUAACGUCCGUCGUGAAGAGGGAAACAACCCAGACCGCCAGCUAAGGUCCCAAAGUCAUGGUUAAGUGGGAAACGAUGUGGGAAGGCCCAGACAGCCAGGAUGUUGGCUUAGAAGCAGCCAUCAUUUAAAGAAAGCGUAAUAGCUCACUGGUCGAGUCGGCCUGCGCGGAAGAUGUAACGGGGCUAAACCAUGCACCGAAGCUGCGGCAGCGACGCUGAUGCGUUGUUGGGUAGGGGAGCGUUCUGUAAGCCUGCGAAGGUGGCCUGUGAGGGUUGCUGGAGGUAUCAGAAGUGCGAAUGCUGACAUAAGUAACGAUAAAGCGGGUGAAAAGCCCGCUCGCCGGAAGACCAAGGGUUCCUGUCCAACGUUAAUCGGGGCAGGGUGAGUCGACCCCUAAGGCGAGGCCGAAAGGCGUAGUCGAUGGGAAACGGGUUAAUAUUCCCGUACUUGGUGUUACUGCGAAGGGGGGACGGAGAAGGCUAUGUUGGCCGGGCGACGGUUGUCCCGGUUUAAGCGUGUAGGUGUGUGUUCCAGGUAAAUCCGGUUCACUUUAACACUGAG
rnacentral:rRNA from 1 species